AAUGAACGUUGGCGGCGUGGAUUAGGCAUGCGAGUCGCGCGAGAAUGUAGCAAUACAGGAAAGCGGCGAAAGGGAGAGGACAACAUAGGAAUCUGCCCUGGGGACGAGGAUAGCGUCGGGAAACUGACGGUAAUACUCGAUAACAUCUACGGAUCAAAGGUGUGAUUCCGCCCUGGGAUGAGCCUAUGCCCCAUUAGCUAGUUGGCGGUGUAAUGGACCACCAAGGCAAUGAUGGGUAGCUGGUGUGAGAGCACGACCAGCCUCACUGGCACUGAGACACUGGCCAGACACCUACGGGUGGCUGCAGUCGAGAAUCUUCGGCAAUGGACGAAAGUCUGACCGAGCGACGCCGCGUGCGGGAUUAAGGCCUUCGGGUUGUAAACCGCUGUCGAGG
rnacentral:rRNA from 1 species